AUUGAACGCUGGCGGCAGGCUUAACACAUGCAAGUCGAGCGGAGAUGAGGUGCUUGCACCUUAUCUUAGCGGCGGACGGGUGAGUAAUGCUUAGGAAUCUGCCUAUUAGUGGGGGACAACAUUCCGAAAGGAAUGCUAAUACCGCAUACGCCCUACGGGGGAAAGCAGGGGAUCUUCGGACCUUGCGCUAAUAGAUGAGCCUCAGUCGGAUUAGCUAGUUGGUGGGGUAAAGGCCUACCAAGGCGACGAGCUGGUGCGGGUCUGAGAGGAUGAUCCGCCACACUGGGACUGAGACACGGCCCAGACUCCUACGGGAGGCAGCAGUGGGGAAUAUUGGACAAUGGGCGGAAGCCUGAUCCAGCCAUGCCGCGUGUGUGAAGAAGGCCUUUUGGUUGUAAAGCACUUUAAGCGAGGAGGAGGCUACCUGGAUUAAUACUCUAGGAUAGUGGACGUUACUCGCAGGAUAAGCACCGGCUAACUCUGUGCCAGCCGCCGCGGUAAAAC
rnacentral:rRNA from 1 species